rnacentral:rRNA from 1 species
UCUCGCGGCCUAUCAGCUUGUUGGUGGGUAAUGGCCUACCAAGGCGACGACGGGUAGCCGACCUGAGAGGGUGACCGGCCACACUGGGACUGAGACACGGCCCAGACUCCUACGGGAGGCAGCAGUGGGGAAUAUUGCACAAUGGGCGAAAGCCUGAUGCAGCGACGCCGCGUGAGGGAUGACGGCCUUCGGGUUGUAAACCUCUUUCAGCAGGGACGAAGCGCAAGUGACGGUACCUGCAGAAGAAGCACCGGCUAACUACGUGCCAGCACCGCGGUAAUACGUAGGGUGCAGCGUUGUCCGGAAUUACUGGGCGUAAAGAGUUCGUAGGCGGUUUGUCGCGUCGUUUGUGAAAACCAGCAGCUCAACUGCUGGCUUGCAGGCGAUACGGGCAGACUUGAGUACUGCAGGGGAGACUGGAAUUCCUGGUGUAGCGGUGAAAUGCGCAGAUAUCAGGAGGAACACCGGUGGCGAAGGCGGGUCUCUGGGCAGUAACUGACGCUGAGGAACGAAAGCGUGGGUAGCGAACAGGAUUAGAUACCCUGGUAGUCCACGCCGUAAACGGUGGGCGCUAGGUGUGGGUUCCUUCCACGGAAUCCGUGCCGUAGCUAACGCAUUAAGCGCCCCGCCUGGGGGAGUACGG